rnacentral:rRNA from 1 species
UACGUAGGGUGCGAGCGUUGUCCGGAAUUAUUGGGCGUAAAGAGCUUGUAGGUGGUUUGUCGCGUCUGCUGUGAAAAUCCGAGGCUCAACCUCGGAACUGCCUUCGAUACUGCGGGUCUCGAGUCCGGGAGAGGUGAGUGGAAUUCCUAGUGUAGAGGUGAAAUUCGUAGAUAUUAGGAAGAACACCAGUGGCGAAGGCGGCUCACUGGCCCGGUACUGACGCUGAGGCGCGAAAGCGUGGGGAGCGAACAGG